rnacentral:misc_RNA from 1 species
CUUUCUAGUCCAACCCAUACAAGCUUAUCAGGCAUGUGAAGAAACACAGCACUAGCAUAUAUUAAAUCAUACAUAACUCCGGCACCAAACUUGGAGAAUUCCAUAUCUUCCCCUCGCACAAUCAGAGGUCGCUUGUAUAGAAGACCCUGCGAAGGAAGCUCAUAUCUUAAUGCAGCCAUCAGAGAGAGCUCGUCCCUUUCAAGACAGUGGUAGUGUUCAGGACUAAGAUACCUAAUGAAAUGCAAACCAACACGGAGUGUGCCACACCCAAUCUCAAGCACUUGUGAGUUGGGUGACAGGUGGGCAGCUUCAGCUAGGAAUUCAAACACAUCUCGUCCACCUGCCCAUGGCUCCCCAUAGUUGCUAUGGUGUCCUUCCACAAGCAGCUCACCAGGGCAAGGAAGUGCAGUAUGAUUAUUGUAUUCUGGCUCUUCAUAGUGUGAUAUGCCCUUGUAAUGAAUCAGAUCUUCGAGUUGCUGAGCCCUAGUUCGAGGAUUAAUGCCCUUACGAAGAACGUUAUCUUGCAUAUGCAAUCCGUUCAAUCGGAUCUGAUCCUUAACCCAUUCGAUAUCCUCUUUCGUCGGCGAUAUUCUUUCCUUAUAAUCUGCUAACCCUCCGCCGCUGCCACCACCUCCGGCAGCGCCAGCAAAGCCUUGUAAAGGAGGAGCAGAGGCCGGACAAUCACAAUAAGAUAGGGAAGAGAUAAGAAAGAACAACAUAAUAGCUGCGACGGAGACCGAGAGCACGAGAACUGGAACUGUUAUGACUACUCCCUUUUGUGUCGGUG